rnacentral:rRNA from 1 species
AUUGAACGCUGGCGGCAGGCCUAACACAUGCAAGUCGAGCGAGCGGCGGACGGGUGAGUAAUGUAUGGGGACUGCCCGAUAGAGGGGGAUAACUACUGGAAACGGUGGCUAAUACCGCAUACUAUCGGAUAACCCAUAUGGGAUUAGCUAGUAGGUGGGGUAAAGGCUCACCUAGGCGACGAUCUCUAGCUGGUCUGAGAGGAUGAUCAGCCACGCGGGGGCUGAGACAUGGCCCGGACGCCUGCGGAGCAAGCGGGGGGGAGAGUAGGACAAGUGGAGCAAGCCUGAGGCAGCAAUGCCGCGUGUAUGAAGAAAGCCUUAGGGUUGUAAAGUACAGUCAGCGUCGAGGCGUUAACAGCAGAAGAAUCACCGGCUAACACCGCGCAUGCAGCCGCGGUAAUAC